rnacentral:lncRNA from 1 species
GUUAUCUCUUUUGAUUGGACAGUGAUCUAGUUAGUUUCAGUAUCCUUUGAUAGUUUUUUCAGUUCAUACCUGCUUAACCUGACAUUUUUCAGGUGUCCAACUUAAAUCGUUCUGGUAAUUAUUGGAAAUCAUGGUGAUAGUAUGGUUAUUAUAGUAAAAGUCUCACACUCUUAUUCAUUCUGUUCUAGAAUUGAAGUGUGGGUCUGAACCUUACAAUCCCCAGGAAAAAAUAUGUUGCUCAGGGAAUCUGUAUAAGAAGGCAUCAGCACUUACUAAGUGCUGUGGCAAAGAUGUUUACACUCUGUCAGAUGACAAUGUGCUGUGCUGUAAUGGAAUCCUUCAUCUCAAUGUGCCUGAGCAGUCAGAGUGUGUUGGAGGUGUUAUAUAUGCUCCACCAAACACUAUUUGCCAAAUGUCUGCUCGCCCCCGUCUUGGUGAGCACUGCUGUGGAGGACAAACCUUCAAUCCUCGCACACAUAUUUGCUGUAACGGACACAGCCACAACAAAACGAAUGGCAAUUAUUGUUGUGGUUCAGAAGUCUAUGACCUCCACAACCAGUUGUUGAGAUGCUGCUCAGGUCAUCUCUACAACCUAACACGUUUAAGUGGGGAAGCAGAGUGCUGUGGAAACCAUCUGCUGGAAUAUAAUAACAAUCAGAUUUGUUGUUCAUCCUCAACCAAUGCUAUAAUUUAUGACACCAAACCAACCACCGUUGCUGUGGGCAUUACUACUACAACACAUCCCUGUGGAGCUGCUGUAGCUGAACAUCUACAAACCAACACCAAAGCCUCAAGUAAUGUUCUUGAACAUUUAUUGUGGUGCAACCUAAAAUACUAAACUUUUUUGUUUGUUUCUUUGUACAUUGACCAAAUUAUCUUGUCUCUUGUGUGUGUGUGUGUGUGUGUGUGUGUGUAUGUGUGUGUGUGUGUGUGUGUGUGUGUAUUUCUAGUGUUCUUUGGCAAAGUGGAGAGUUUGGCACUUGAAAAUGAUCAGCGUCAUGUGGUGUUGAAAGUUGUGUGGCAGGUCAACAUGAAAUCAGAAAAGGUCAUCAAAGACCCAUGGCUUCAUGUGUCCCUGGAUCACUGCAGCUCUCCUGCCACAGAGAGCGGCAUGACCUACCUUUGGGAGGAAAACCAUGAUAGGAAGUACAAGCUUCUCUCUCACCCUGUUGACCUAACCUCUGACAUGCAACUGUUAUAUGCUGUAUGUUACCAUAAAAAGGGAUAAAAAUAUGGAUUGAGGUCUACAAUAUUUCCCAUAAUUUUGAAGCAAAUUCAUGCAGGUUGUCAUAAGAUUUUUGUCCUGAAGAGAAUUUGUAUCCAUCAUUAAUGCUAAAUGACCCUUAAGACAAGUUUACCCUUUUAAGAGAAGUCUGUUACUGUACGCAGCAUUAUGGCAGAUGCCUCACAUGUUGUAUAUCUGUGCUUUUUUGCCUCACUGGAUAUUUUUAAUUAAUCUCAAUAAUAUAUCGAUCCUGUUGGGAGUGAUGCAUCUAUUUAUUCAGUCAGGUAAAUUUUAAGGUUUGUUAAUAUACAAAUUUUAAAAAGAGAAAUGGAAUCAGUUAUUGAGUUCUCUUAAAAGUAAUUUUUUUACAAAAGAAAUUAAUGGCUUUUAUCCUAAUCCUUGAAGACAGAGGUUAUUUCAUAUGUUUUUUUAUAUUUUAAGAUGUUAAUAUAACAACAGCUCAAAUCUCAAUAAUAUAUACGAAUCCUGUUGGGAGUGAUGCAUCUAAUUUAUUCAGUCAGGUAAAUUUUAAGGUUUGUUAAUAAUACAAAUUUUAAAAAGAGAAAUGGAAUCAGUUAUUGAGUUCUCUUAAAAGUAAUUUUUUUACAAAAGAAAUUAAUGGCUUUUAUCCUAAUCCUUGAAGACAGAGGUUAUUUCAUAUGUUUUUUUUAUAUUUUAAGAUGUUAAUAUAACAACAGCUCAAAUAUAAGCUUGAUGUAGCUAUGCAUUUAUUUUUAUUAUUAUUAUUAUUUUUCAUUUAAUUGUUGUUGUUAUUUUUAUUUUAUUUUUGACCAAUUUACAGGUUUGUUACUACUUGUCGAACAGUAAUCCUCAUUCAUUAAAUUUGACCUGAAAUGUAUUCUAAAUUUACUUAAUUUAGACUUAAAUUAAUAGACUUAAUUUAGAGACAAUCAUACAACAAGAUGUUAAGUGUUAAGAUGAAAUGUCCCUUAUCUGUCUGUCUCAUCUCAUCUGUCUGUCUAAUACAUGUAGUGGUUUGGGAGUUUUAAACUUCUCCAAACUCUUACAUAGUGUUCAGUUUCCAUGUCUCCUCUAUACAACUUUGAACACACCUUUCAUGUUAAAUGUUGUGUGAAGAAAGUUUACUUGUUCAAGUUGUAUUAUGGUAUUGCAGAUAUGGAAUGUGACAAAAAACUAUAUAUAUAUAUAUAUAUAUGUAUAUAUAUAUAUAUAUAUAUAUAUAUAUAUAUAUAUAUGCUUGAUGUAGCUAUGCAUUUAUUUUUAAUAUUAUUUCUUUCAUUGAAUUGGCUAUAUAUUAAUAGUCUGUUAUUUCUAAAUAAAAAUUUU